GGAAGUGGGGAUGACGUCAAAUCUAUCAUGCCCCUUAUGACCUGGGCUACACACGUGCUACAAUGGUUGGUACAACGAGUUGCGAGUCGGUGACGGCGAGCUAAUCUCUUAAAGCCAAUCUCAGUUCGGAUUGUAGGCUGCAACUCGCCUACAUGAAGUCGGAAUCGCUAGUAAUCGCGGAUCAGCACGCCGCGGUGAAUACGUUCCGGCCUU
rnacentral:rRNA from 1 species